UGGCUUAGCCUUGCUGCUCUUGGGCUUGUGGCCAGGCAGCACAUCAUGGCGGGGAGCAGGUGAUGGAGCAGAGUCACUCACUUCAUGGCCAGGAAGCUACAAAGAGGAAGAAGAGGUUCUGGGAUCCUAUUGUCCCCUUCAAGACCUCCCAUGGCCCCACCCCUUAAAGGUUCCGUGAUCUCUCAACUGGGAGCAAACCUUCAGCCACGGGCCUUUGGGAAACAUUUAAGAUCCAGACCACAGCAGGGGAAGUUUUAGACUCUAGAUCUCUGACCUUGAGGGACAGCCAUCUGCUGCAGGUUGAACAGUGUUAUCUGUCCGUCUGUACCAAGGAUGGAUACCUGAGUGACAGCCACAGAGAAGCAUGGCUUCUCGGCUAGGUGGGAAGAUUUAGGUGGUCGGUGUGUUUUGUAGAAUGUAAAAUUUUAUCCUGUAGCAUCUCUUCAUCUGAACCCAUGAUGUUGCUCGAGUCAAAUCGGCUGUGUCAGAGGACAGAGACUUAACUAUUGAAAUACUGUGGGAUGCGGAAAGCACCUCUCUGCCACGCGACCAGCGCUGGCUGCAUGAAAGAAGGUUCAAUUCAUAAGUAAUUGCUAGGGGUUUUAAAUUAAAGAGACAAGACUCUAAUUACCUUUAAAACCAGCUCCAAGGCAGCUUCACCUAGCUCCCACCCCCAUCCACCUAAUGCGGUAGCGAGGUUUACUGAAGAGACUAGAGAGAGAGAGAGAGAGAGAGAGAGAGAGAGAGAGAGAGAGAGAACACGCCAGGGAGUGGGCUUUUAUUAGGAAAAAAAAAAUUCUGGGGAAAAUCCCAUCCAAUGAAGGUUAAGAGGGGCAGCAUCCCCAGGUCAGGGGCAACGAUUGGUCUUCGGGACAGUGGCCAGACACGCCUCUGCACAGACAAGCCCUCAGACCUGGAGAAGGGUGGGGAAAGCUCUGACACAGCUGUGUCUAAGUGCCUCUCACCCAGGCAGGGAGGUAAGUCAGAUCACAUGCGAGGAUGGCCUCACCACAUACCUGUCCCCUGUGUCUACGGCAGGAGGCUACAGCAG
rnacentral:lncRNA from 1 species